CGUGCAGGUUGUUUGGUAAGUAGGGCGUGAAAGCUCCUGGCUCAACUGGGAGAGGUCGUUCUAAACUGCCAAGCUAGAGGAUGGUAGAGGGAGGUGGAAUUCCGGGUGUAGCGGUGGAAUGCGCAGAUAUCCGGAGGAACACCAGUGGCGAAAGCGGCCUCCUGGACCAUUCCUGACACUCAGACGCGAAAGCUAGGGUAGCAAACG
rnacentral:rRNA from 1 species